AUGAUUCAGGUAUUUGUAGAGAGCAAUAAGAUCACCCCUCAGCCUCCUUUUCUUCAGGCUGAACAACUCUAAUUCCUUCAUCUGCUCCUCAUAAGACUUCUUCUACAGACCCCUCACCAGCUUCCUUGACAUUCUCUGGACACCCUACAGAUUCUCAAUGUCCUUCUUGUAGUGAGGGGCCCAAAACUGGACACAGUAUUUGAGGUGGGGCCUCACCAGUGCCCAGUACAGGGGGCUGAUCACUACCCCAGUCCUGCUGGCCACACUGUUGCUGAUACAGGCCAGGGUGCUGUUGGCCUUCUUGGCCACCUGGGCACACUGCUGGCUCAUAUUCAGCCAGCUGUUGACCAAUACCCCCAAGUCUUUUUCCUUCCCCAAGCCUGUAGCACUGCAUGGGGGAAGGAGAAACAUUAGUGAUGCUCAUGGGAGGAAUUCAGUCUUUUCAGAGAGGAUUAUCCUGAGUGAACUAGAGCUCAUAAGGCAGAUUUUAGGAUGCUUAUGAAGGACUGGAAAAAUCUGAGGAGGCCCUGGGAGGUCUGAAAUACGUUCAGGAUGCUUGUGGAGGACUGGGAAAAAUUGGGAAAGCACAGAGAGGAUCGAGUAUACCUGGAGAAGGCAGAAUUUAAGGUUAUAAGCUGUUGCCUGUCUCAUGUGAGCUGUGUGAAUGUUUCUGUCUUCCAGACCAGAAGCUUCCUCCUGAAGAGCAGGCAAUGGAAGAAAAAACAGCAUUUAAUAUGAGUUGGGACUGGACAAUUUCACCACUGUCAACAAGACUGUGUGACUUCUCUGGCCUCAGGGUAGUGGUGGCACUCCAGAAAGCAAAUGGCUCCUGGGCCCUCACUGCAGCUCUGGCCUCUGCCCUGGGGCUCAGCAAGGCUGAUGUUGAGGUACAAAGACCCAGUGAGCAUGUGCAGCCAACUGCCUGGGCCACAGUUUUGACUUUAGUCUGGUUGCACCAGUAUAAAUGGAAGGUAUCUUGGUUAGAGCUUCUGGAGGCCAAAACUUGUAGGUGGCUGCAGGACCAAGCUGGUAAGAAGAUUCUGCUGGAAGGAGUCAUGCUCUGUGUCUUUUCCACAAAAUCUGCAGCUGAUACCUGUUGACCCAUGUCCCUCUUUUCCAGUGCUCCUGCAUGGCAGUCUGUAAUUACACACUGUCUCUCCUUACUGAGUUGUUGUCCCCUUGUACUUUUUCUCUCUUCUUGCAGAGGUCCAGCUGAAUGAAUGUCUGGAGGCAGCAAAUUCCCUCUUAGGGUGUUUUGUGGAGCCCACCAUCUUCAGGAUUUGAACCUACCCUGCUACUGGGUGUGGACAAGAAGCUGUUUGGCAACACAGCCAGGACAGCUGACCCAAUCUAGCCAAAGGGAUAUUCCAUAGCAUUAACAUCACGCCCUUCUGGGAGUGACUGAGUGGCUGGGUUGGAUGCUUAGAUGCUAUCUGGGGCCAACCCGCUGCAGCUGACUUGUUCACACAUAUAGUCUCCAUCAUAAUAUGAGAGUUUCCACUGAACUCUGAAAAAUAACUCUAAAUACAUAUAUUAAACUUUGCUUCAUUUUUCCACAUACUGCUUUUCUCUGAGAUUUACCCAAACAGUCAUCUGCUCAAAAUACCAGGUCUUGGGGAGAAAAAUCAUGUUCAAUUACUACAGAAAAACACCUUCUUCAUGGUAGGGGCAUGGAGUAGAGAAGGAGGCAGGAGCAAAGAGGUGAAACUGAGCCUGGGAAUAAGGGACCAUGGGGAAGAGUGGUUAAGUUUUUGACUUUGUUUCUCACCAUCCUACUCUAUUUUUAAUUGCCAAUAAAUUAUAUUAAUCUUCCCUAAGUCA
rnacentral:lncRNA from 1 species